UACGUAGGGGGCUAGCGUUGUCCGGAAUCAUUGGGCGUAAAGAGCGUGUAGGCGGCCCGGUAAGUCCGCUGUAAAAGUCAAAGGCUCAACCUUUGAAUGUCAGUGGAUACUGCCGGGCUAGAGUCCGGAAGAGGCGAGUGGAACUCCUGGUGUAGCGGUGGAAUGCGCAGAUAUCAGGAAGAACACCGGUGGCGAAGGCGGGUCUCUGGGCCGAUACUGACGCUGAGGAGCGAAAGCGUGGGGAGCGAACAGG
rnacentral:rRNA from 1 species